rnacentral:lncRNA from 1 species
AAGUUUGGCAGUAGACAACAUUGACAACUAUAGGCCCAUCACCAAUGUGGAUGACAUGCAGCUCUACAUCUCCUUUACUCCAACUACAGGAGAUGCCGUUCUGUCCCUUCAGCGUUGCCUGGAAACCGUACGGGAAUGGAUGCAGGAGAACGGGCUGAGGCUGAACCCGGACAAGACGGAGGUACUGAGGGUGGGUUCUCCCACAGUUGGGGAUUUGGGAAACUCCCUCACUUUUGGGGGGGUGACCCUGCCUGCCAGGGAUGGGGUUUGCAGCUUGGGGAUUCAUCUGGACCCGGCGCUUACUAUGGAAACCCAGGUGGCGUCCGUGGUCCGUACCGCAUUUUUCCAUCUCAGGCGGAUAGCCCAGCUGCGACCCUACCUUGAUGUGGCAGCUCUCACUACUUUGGUACAUGCGCUUGUAAUCUCAAGAUUAGACCACUGCAAUGCGCUCUACGUGGGGCUACCUUUGAGGCUGCUGCGGAAAUUACAGGUGGUGCAGAAUACUGCGGCCAGAUUACUUAGCGGAGUGAGAAGAUACCAACAUAUCUCGCCUGCUCUGGCCGCAUUGCAUUGGCUGCCCAUCCGAUUCCGCAUCGACUUCAAAGUGUUGAUGCUUACUUACAAAGCCCUAAACGAUUUAGGACCUCAAUUCUUGGUGGAACGCCUUCUCCCACCUAGAUCUACCUGUGUCACUCGUGCGAGCCAGGAGGUUAGGCUGAGGAGCCUGACGCUGAGAGAGGCUCGGAAGGAAAAGACCAGAAAUCGGGCCUUCUCGGCGGUGGCUCCUCGCCUUUGGAAUAACUUACCUCCUGAGAUUCGCAUGGCUCCCUUGCUGGGCAUUUUUAAGAAACAGUUAAAAACACUGAUGUAUAGGCAGGCCUUCCCAACAGAUAACCCCUGACGAUCUUUUUCUUUUUAUAAUGUCUUUGAUCUCUAUCUUUGCUAACCUGUAAUGUUUUUAAAAAUUUUAUUGUUGGGUUGAUUGUAAGCCGCCUAGAGUGGUCUAGUAUGACCAGAUAGGCGGGAUAGAAAUAAAAUAAAUAAAUAAAUAAAUAAAUUCCUUCCU